CGGCCUUGAGAUUUCGCAGCCUGG
rnacentral:siRNA from 1 species